GGGGGCAUGGUGAAAUUGGUAAACACAACAGACUUAAAAUCUGUCGGCUUAAUAGGCCUUCCCGGUUCAAGUCCGGGUGUCCCCA
rnacentral:tRNA from 1 species